UCGUAUAGUCUGCGCCUACAAUUAGCAAAAAGAUUUCAUACUCCAAUCGCGCUUACAAAGUUAUAAUAAAUUAAUAUUAAUAUACACCAAUCGCUAAGGAUAUAUAUACCAGAUCUCGAACUUCAGGCCGGCUUGUUAUCAUAUUCAUCAUAUUAGCCGUAUUGGACUUGGAGUGGAUUGGACAAGGGCGAUGUUACAUUGGCAUGUUCCUAAGACAAUUGCAGUUCUGGUAGUAUAAAGAGGAUGUUACACGUGCCCGUUUGUUUAAAUUAUUUAAAUGAUAAUAUUUUUCAGCUAUUCUUUCCCUGUAUUUGCGAAAUGUUCUUUGCCUACACGAGAAUGCAGCUACAGUUGUUUAUCAUAUCUUUAUAAUGAUGUGCUAUACUAUGCCAUUAAUGGGGGCAGUUCUUGCUGAUAAUUUUAUUGGCAGAUAUAAAGUAAUUUUGUACUUUUCCAUUAUAUAUCUCGUGGGAACUGUAUUGACGUGUCUCUCUGCAAUACCUCCGUUAAUGUUGCCACCUACGACAACCUCUAUAAUUGGUUUAGCUUUAAUAGCUACAGGCACGGGUGGAAUUAAACCUUGCGUAGCAGCUUUCGGAGGCGAUCAGGUAACAUUUUUUACUAAUUAGUUAUUUAUUUGAUGAUUAUAUAUAUAUUCAUAUUACUAUAUGAAUAUGUAUGAGUCUAUAUGUCCCAUACAUAGA